rnacentral:rRNA from 1 species
AGGCGGGCUGGACCUCUCGGGGUUACAGCCUUGCUGAAUUAUUCACCCUUGUCUUUUGCGUACUUCUUGUUUCCUUGGUGGGUUCGCCCACCACUAGGACAAACAUAAACCUUUUGUAAUUGCAAUCAGCGUCAGUAACAAAUUAAUAAUUACAACUUUCAACAACGGAUCUCUUGGUUCUGGCAUCGAUGAAGAACGCAGCGAAAUGCGAUAAGUAGUGUGAAUUGCAGAAUUCAGUGAAUCAUCGAAUCUUUGAACGCACAUUGCGCCCUUUGGUAUUCCAAAGGGCAUGCCUGUUCGAGCGUCAUUUGUACCCUCAAGCUUUGCUUGGUGUUGGGCGUCUUGUCUCUAGCUUUGCUGGAGACUCGCCUUAAAGUAAUUGGCAGCCGGCCUACUGGUUUCGGAGCGCAGCACAAGUCGCACUCUCUAUCAGCAAAGGUCUAGCAUCCAUUAAGCCUUUUUUUCAACUUUUGACCUCGGAUCAGGUAGGGAUACCCGCUGAACUUAAGCAUAUCAAUAAGCGGAGGAA